rnacentral:hammerhead_ribozyme from 1 species
GUACUGCUGAAGAGUCCCAUAAUAGGACGAAACGGUCGUCCAGUGC